GACAGAGGGUGCAAACGUUGUUCGGAAUUACUGGGCGUAAAGCGCGUGUAGGCGGCUUUGCAAGUCGGAUGUGAAAUCCCACGGCUCAACCGUGGAAGUGCAUUCGAAACUGCAAGGCUAGAGUCCUGGAGAGGAAGGUGAAAUGCUUGGUGUAGAGGUGAAAUUCGUAGAUAUCAAGCGGAACACCGGUGGCGAAGGCGGCCUUCUGGACAGUGACUGACGCUGAGACGCGAAAGCGUGGGGAGCAAACAGG
rnacentral:rRNA from 1 species